GCCCAUCUGAGGACUCACAUCCGGGGCUUAAGGAGCUUCCCGGUGGGGCCACAGGUACAGCCACCAGAGGAACAGAGAGGAGAGCAGGCUGUCCUGGGCAUUUUAAAAAAUGGCAUUUUGGUUUGGUUUUUUUUUUUUUGAGGUGGGGUCUCGCCACAUGACUGGCUAACCUGAAGCUCUUUAUAUAGUUGAAGAACUCACAAAAAACUUUCUGUUUCUGUCUCUGUCUCCCAAAUUCUGAGAUUAAAGGCAUGUGGCUGGCUUAAUAAACUGGUUGUGUGUGUGUAUAUAUGUAAAUGAAUAUCUUUCAUGAGCCACGUGUGGUGUUGCAUGCCGUUGAUAUCCCAGCACUUGGGAGGCAGAGGCAGUCAGAUCUCUUAAGCUCAAGGACAGCUUGGUCUACAGAGAAUUACAGGGCAACCAGGGUUAUACAUGGAAAUGAAGUCUCACAAAACCAUCAUUCCAAGAUUGUAGUGUUUAUCAGUGCAACUAUUCAAGUGUACAGUGUAGCAGGAUUGUUUCCGUUUGUCUGGGUAAAGGCCCAGCUGCCACUGGUUGACACUGACCUCAUGAAGUGGACACUACUUUUUAUAUGUUCUCUGUAAGAGGUUUUGUAAUACUUUUUUGAGAUUAUGAUUUUUUUCACUUAUUGAAUAAUGUCAAAUUUGAUGUGUUUUACAGUCUAUGCAUUUUAAGUUAAGCUGCCUGAAGUGUGGUUUGAGACAUGUAUGUUUAUACUGUAAGCAAUGGAAGAUACUAGGUUUUGUCACCUGCUGCUGUAUUUGGAAACAAAGACAAAUGUUGCCUGAAGAAGUAAUUAUAAUUAGGAGUAGGCUAUUGAUGUGAUCAUUGAUAUUUUUGAGGUAAACUUGUUUGCUUUUGUGUGUAAUACCUGAAAGCUUUUUUAAGAAAAUGUAUUUUC
rnacentral:lncRNA from 1 species